rnacentral:rRNA from 1 species
UGAACGCUGGCGGCAGGCCUAACACAUGCAAGUCGAGCGGUAGCACAGAGAGCUUGCUCUCGGGUGACGAGCGGCGGACGGGUGAGUAAUGUCUGGGAAACUGCCUGAUGGAGGGGGAUAACUACUGGAAACGGUAGCUAAUACCGCAUAAUGUCGCAAGACCAAAGUGGGGGACCUUCGGGCCUCAUGCCAUCAGAUGUGCCCAGAUGGGAUUAGCUAGUAGGUGGGGUAACGGCUCACCUAGGCGACGAUCCCUAGCUGGUCUGAGAGGAUGACCAGCCACACUGGAACUGAGACACGGUCCAGACUCCUACGGGAGGCAGCAGUGGGGAAUAUUGCACAAUGGGCGCAAGCCUGAUGCAGCCAUGCCGCGUGUGUGAAGAAGGCCUUCGGGUUGUAAAGCACUUUCAGCGGGGAGGAAGGCGGUAAGGUUAAUAACCUCAUCGAUUGACGUUACCCGCAGAAGAAGCACCGGCUAACUCCGUGCCAGCAGCCGCGGUAAUACGGAGGGUGCAAGCGUUAAUCGGAAUUACUGGGCGUAAAGCGCACGCAGGCGGUCUGUCAAGUCGGAUGUGAAAUCCCCGGGCUCAACCUGGGAACUGCAUUCGAAACUGGCAGGCUAGAGUCUUGUAGAGGGGGGUAGAAUUCCAGGUGUAGCGGUGAAAUGCGUAGAGAUCUGGAGGAAUACCGGUGGCGAAGGCGGCCCCCUGGACAAAGACUGACGCUCAGGUGCGAAAGCGUGGGGAGCAAACAGGAUUAGAUACCCUGGUAGUCCACGCCGUAAACGAUGUCGAUUUGGAGGUUGUGCCCUUGAGGCGUGGCUUCCGGAGCUAACGCGUUAAAUCGACCGCCUGGGGAGUACGGCCGCAAGGUUAAAACUCAAAUGAAUUGACGGGGGCCCGCACAAGCGGUGGAGCAUGUGGUUUAAUUCGAUGCAACGCGAAGAACCUUACCUGGUCUUGACAUCCACAGAACUUUCCAGAGAUGGAUUGGUGCCUUCGGGAACUGUGAGACAGGUGCUGCAUGGCUGUCGUCAGCUCGUGUUGUGAAAUGUUGGGUUAAGUCCCGCAACGAGCGCAACCCUUAUCCUUUGUUGCCAGCGGUCCGGCCGGGAACUCAAAGGAGACUGCCAGUGAUAAACUGGAGGAAGGUGGGGAUGACGUCAAGUCAUCAUGGCCCUUACGACCAGGGCUACACACGUGCUACAAUGGCAUAUACAAAGAGAAGCGACCUCGCGAGAGCAAGCGGACCUCAUAAAGUAUGUCGUAGUCCGGAUUGGAGUCUGCAACUCGACUCCAUGAAGUCGGAAUCGCUAGUAAUCGUAGAUCAGAAUGCUACGGUGAAUACGUUCCCGGGCCUUGUACACACCGCCCGUCACACCAUGGGAGUGGGUUGCAAAAGAAGUAGGUAGCUUAACCUUCGGGAGGGCGCUUACCACUUUGUGAUUCAUGACU